AGUGAACGCUGGCGGUAGGCCUAACACAUGCAGGUCGAACGGCAGCACAGUAAGAGCUUGCUCUUACGGGUGGCGAGUGGCGGACGGGUGAGGAAUACAUCGGAAUCUACUUUUUCGUGGGGGAUAACGUAGGGAAACUUACGCUAAUACCGCAUACGACCUACGGGUGAAAGCAGGGGAUCUUCGGACCUUGCGCGAUUGAUUGAUCCGAUGUCGGAUUAGCUAGUUGGCGGGGUAAAGGCCCACCAAGGCGACGAUCCGUAGCUGGUCUGAGAGGAUGAUCAGCCACACUGGAACUGAGACACGGUCCAGACUCCUACGGGAGGCAGCAGUGGGGAAUAUUGGACAAUGGGCGCAAGCCUGAUCCAGCCAUACCGCGUGGGUGAAGAAGGCCUUCGGGUUGUAAAGCCCUUUUGUUGGGAAAGAAAAGCAGCAGGUUAAUACCCCGCUGUUCUGACGGUACCCAAAGAAUAAGCACCGGCUAACUUCGUG
rnacentral:rRNA from 1 species